GGUCAGUAGGUUGGUCGUGCCACCGGUACGUACUGGUCUCACUGAUUCCUCCUUCCUGAAGAACCGUAAUGCCAUUAAUUUGGUGUUGCGGGGAAACAGGACUGUUACUUUGAAAAAAUUAGAGUGUUUAAAGCAAGCUAACGCUUGAAUACAUUAGCAUGGAAUGAUGAAAUAGGACGAUCGAUCCCAUUUUGUUGGGUUCUAGGAUUGACGUA
rnacentral:rRNA from 1 species